AGAGUUUGAUCCUGGCUCAGGACGAACGCUGGCGGCGUGCUUAACACAUGCAAGUCGAACGGAAAGGCCCUUCGGGGUACUCGAGUGGCGAACGGGUGAGUAACACGUGGGUGAUCUGCCCUGCACUUUGGGAUAAGCCUGGGAAACUGGGUCUAAUACCGAAUAGGACCACGCGCUUCAUGGUGUGUGGUGGAAAGCUUUUGCGGUGUGGGAUGGGCCCGCGGCCUAUCAGCUUGUUGGUGGGGUAAUGGCCUACCAAGGCGACGACGGGUAGCCGGCCUGAGAGGGUGACCGGCCACACUGGGACUGAGAUACGGCCCAGACUCCUACGGGAGGCAGCAGUGGGGAAUAUUGCACAAUGGGCGCAAGCCUGAUGCAGCGACGCCGCGUGAGGGAUGACGGCCUUCGGGUUGUAAACCUCUUUCACCAGGGACGAAGCGCAAGUGACGGUACCUGGAGAAGAAGCACCGGCCAACUACGUGCCAGCAGCCGCGGUAAUACGUAGGGUGCGAGCGUUGUCCGGAAUUACUGGGCGUAAAGAGCUCGUAGGUGGUUUGUCGCGUUGUUCGUGAAAACUCACAGCUUAACUGUGGGCGUGCGGGCGAUACGGGCAGACUAGAGUACUGCAGGGGAGACUGGAAUUCCUGGUGUAGCGGUGGAAUGCGCGGAUAUCAGGAGGAACACCGGUGGCGAAGGCGGGUCUCUGGGCAGUAACUGACGCUGAGGAGCGAAAGCGUGGGGAGCGAACAGGAUUAGAUACCCCGGUAGUCC
rnacentral:rRNA from 1 species